UGCAACGCAGCUUCUCUGAGCA
rnacentral:siRNA from 1 species